rfam:Lottia gigantea unplaced genomic scaffold LOTGIsca_1, whole genome shotgun sequence.
GUAGGGUAUGGAGACAUUCAUCCUACGACGGUUUUAGGAAAAAUAGUCGGUAGUGUGUGUUGUAUUUGUGGAGUAUUAGUUAUUGCUCUGCCGAUUCCUAUCAUAGUGAAUAAU